GUGUGUUGGCCCAGGGUGAGAUCUAAAACCUGCAGGGACACCGGCCCUCGUGGACUGAGAUUGGGGACCCCUGCUCUAGAGGAUUUUGUAUUGAAGUCCCAAGAGGAGAAACUGGUCUGCUUGUGGCAAAGAUUGGAAAAAGAACACCCUUCAGUGGCUAUGCCAAGGAUAAGCAGCAGACAGACAAGAAGAAGCUAAGAGAUGUGUUCGAGAAGGGCGACAUGUACUUUAACAGUGGCGACCUUGUAAAGAUUGACGACGAGGGAUUCAUCUUCUUUCAAGACCGCAUUGGAGACACUUUCAGGUGGAAAGGAGAAAAUGUGGCAACCACAGAGGUGGCUGACCACCUGCUCACAGUUGACUUUAUUGAAGAGGCUAAUGUUUAUGGUGUGAAGGUGCCAGGACAUGAGGGAAGAAUUGGAAUGGCAGCACUGAAACUAAAAGAAAAUAUGGACUUUGAUGGCAAAGCUUUUUAUCAGCAUGUCAAAAACUACUUGCCCAGCUACGCGAGACCACGCUUCGUUCGCAUACAGGAUGCAUUGGUGGUGACUAGCACCUUUAAGCAGAUGAAGGCGAAGCUGGCAGAGGAAGGUUUUAACCCUGCUCUCAUCAAGGAUCCUCUGUUUUACCUGGAAGACAAUAAGGGCUACAUACCCAUGACUCAGGAGAUAUUCAACUGCAUUGAACAAGGAAGACUCAGGCUUUAAAUGAGUUCAGUGCUGAUAUUUUAUUGUCAGUCUCAAAAAGAUUAGUGUUGAUUUAUGACAAACAACCUUUACAUUGUGGAUAUACAAACAUACAAUGGCAUGCAUUUCAUUUUUUUAAUAUUUCAACUCAUUUUAGUCCAAAAUACUUUUAAAAAAAAAUGAUUUUUAUAUGAGUAAAUCCCAUAUCGCUGACACUGUUAUUUGGAGAUUAUCAGUUUGUCAAGAGGUGACUGUGUUGGUUGACUGUGUGCUGAAGCAAACUGCUUAUCAAUCAAUAGGUGAAUUAUUGUGUGGAUGUGAGGUACAUUUUGUGCUGGUUUUGGGCUCAUCAGAGGAGUGUAGGAGCAGUGGAAGUUUCCAGUGGCGUAGGAGGGGGGGCUGUGUUUGUUACAGCAGAGGAAGACAUACAGUUCACUCUUCUGCAGGUGGAGGGUGAGUGCUUUUGAGCUGCUGGAGAAACCUUCAGAGGGCAGCAGAGCUGGUGCCGACCACACUGCACCCACUGGUUACAGAAGCUGGGAAUAUAUGAAAGUAUUGUUGCAAAAUAUGAGAAGUUGUAGAAUAAAAAGGAACAAUAUGUAGAAAAAAUGUGAA